rfam:Oryza sativa (indica cultivar-group) chromosome 2, whole genome shotgun sequence.
AAACAGACAAACCCUGGGUUUCCGAGUCCAACAUUUAACCAUCCAUCUUAUUUGAAAAAAUUAUGAAAAAAAUUAAAAAAGACAAGUCAUGCAUAAAAUAUUAAUCAUGUUUUAUCAUCUAACAACAAUGAAAAUACUAAUUAUAAAAAAAUUAUAUAAGACGGAUAGUCAAACGUUGUACACGGAAAUCAGGGUUUGUCUUUUU